CCUACGGGGGGCUGCAGUGGGGAAUAUUGGACAAUGGGGGGAACCCUGAUCCAGCCAUGCCGCGUGUGUGAAGAAGGCCCUCGGGUUGUAAAGCACUUUCAGUGAGGAAGAACGCCUGGUGGUUAAUACCCAUCAGGAAAGACAUCACUCACAGAAGAAGCACCGGCUAACUCCGUGCCAGCAGCCGCGGUAAUACGGAGGGUGCGAGCGUUAAUCGGAAUUACUGGGCGUAAAGCGCGCGUAGGUGGCUUGAUAAGCCGGUUGUGAAAGCCCCGGGCUCAACCUGGGAACGGCAUCCGGAACUGUCAAGCUAGAGUGCAGGAGAGGAAGGUAGAAUUCCCGGUGUAGCGGUGAAAUGCGUAGAGAUCGGGAGGAAUACCAGUGGCGAAGGCGGCCUUCUGGACUGACACUGCCACUGAGGUGCGAAAGCGUGGGUAGCAAACAGGAUUAGCUACCCUUGUAGUC
rnacentral:rRNA from 1 species